GUACUAGGGGCCCCUGCGGCUGAGCCCGUGUCCAGGCACCUUCCACGUGGCGCAGGGCGGAUCAAGGCUUGCCCGGGGCCAGCGCGGGGCUGCCGCCAGCACGAGAGCCUCGGGGACCGCCCUCCUCCGGCAGCCGGUGUCAGCGGAGAGUGACAGACGGUCUGGUGGGCCCUGCCAAGGCAGCCCCUAAAUAGAGAUCUCCAGAGGGGGCAACACCAUAAAAAAGGUUCUUUGUGUUUCACUCUAGCGUGGUAUUGCUCUAAUAUAGAGCUCGGCACUUUCCCCAACCUCUAGGAAUUCGAACACCUGGAAAAAUUCUCCUGGCUUUACAUUGGAGGAAAUUUAAUGGUGUAAACCAACUCUGCAGGGGGGCCCCCUUUGAUUUGAGAAAGCAGUGAUCUGCGGUGCAGUGCUGAGCCGAAGGGGCUUGGAAACGACUUUGCCUGAGAAUGUCCAUUCCUCAAACACUUUAAGGAUGGCUUCGAGUUGUUUAGAAAAAUUUAGGCAGACAGCACCGUCUUGGAAGCAUCUAGAAACUUCGAGAGAAAUAAACUUCAGUUACUCGUUUAAUUACAGGCAUCAGCUUGCCAGUUCCCUGCUAACUGUCCAUUUCCGAAUAGGGCAGAAUUUUUCAGGGGUCUUUGCUGUGCUACUACAGCUUUAUGAAUUGUAGACCGGUUUGUCAGCCUUAUUUUAGCUCGGCAAAUAAGGAAAUCAUACCUGGGAAAGUGAAGUGACUUCCCCAAGGUCACCUGACCCAGAAGCCAAGACUCCAGGCUUGUAAGUUCCAUGAUGUUGAUGCCCUUAUUGUUUCCCUGUGGAGUCCUGCUACCCAGAAAGUAAGCUGUGAGCUAAGGAGAGGAAAAGGCCCAACACCUGCCUGUCAGGGCUCCUGGAUCACGCCCUGCUGCCUGCUGACCUAUAUUGGACUCGAGCCCUUCUUCUGGCAUGCUCACCUGUUAACCCACCUAUCAGCCCACACCUCUGACUGCUGGCUGCUCCCCAUUGAGCCUGAAAUACUGUGCUAUCUGCCUGUACCCUUUUGCAUAAGCUGGGGUUGGGUUAUCUCAGAUUUCUAUUUGGGUCAAGAUUGCCACAUACCUCACCUCUUCUGUUCUGGUCCUCAUCCUGUGUUCCUGGACAAAAAUAACAUUUGAGUAGAAAGCUUUUCUACUUGUUGACAUAGUUGAACAGAUUUUGCUUUAUUGAGAUGAAAUGGAGCCUAAAUUUAUCUGGAAAUGUGUGGAAUCAGUAGAGAGAAGUAAACACAACUCGAAGAAAGCGGGAAACCCCUGUGUACAAUUCAGCUUUUUCACUCCCAGGGAGUUGGGCAUGAUUGUAAAGAAUGAUGUUUUCAAGCCUGCCAAUAACAGAACACGUCUGUAUCCAUUGUGGAUGGGCUUCUUUGAGAAAGCUUCCUUUUCGCCCAAGUAGAGGAGCUCUUCACUGCCCUAAGAUUCUGCUUUCCUACUCCCAUGUCAGAGCAGGAAAAGGUGAAUAUUUUUCACACAGAAUAGCCUCAUCCAUUCCCACGGGGAGUGAGAUAGUUCCUGUAGGGUGCUAGUGAUGGCAUAAAAUUACAGCUCACUAGAGAAACAGUUGCGAGUAAAGAAAUAUAUACAUUUCCUCUAUUUGUGUUCCCUGUCUGUGUUGUCUAAGUUGCAAACAACAGACUCCACUUCAGCUAGGUUAAAGGGAAAAGAGGUUUAAUAAAGAAAAUUAAAUAGCUUAUAGCAUCACUGGGGAACUAGAGAAACAGAUUUAAGGCUAAGCUUCCAGAAACAUAUCCCAAAACAUGCCCCCAAACCGUGACACUGACAUGAAGAGACAGUUGUCAUUGCUGCUUUAUUGAACAGAGGACUGAGAAUUUUUCUACAGUCACUGCUGUUCUCUGCACUGAUGGAAGCCAAGCCUGCCUGGAGAACUCAACUUUGCAACCCAAAGCUGGUGGCUAAUGUGGCUACCCCUACCAACAAAAUGGAAACUCCACCAGGUGUCUGAAUCCAGCUCUCACGGUCAUUUAGUGGAGCAGGAAGAAACUGCAGGCCUUUUGGAGGUAUUUCCUUGUGAUUCUGGUCCAAUCCACCACCACCGUCUCACGCUUAGAACCCUGCAAUCCUUCGUAAGUAUUUGUUCUGGAAUCCUGUUACUCUGUUACUAAAACCACUCCUAUUUCUCACCUUGCUCAAGCUUCUCAUCUCACUUAGAAAAAGGAAUUUUUACAAACAAAUCUUUCCAUUAGCAUCAUAAUGUUUUUCAUGUUUGGCUCUGACUCAGUUUCCUUUCACUUUCUGGGAGCCUUUCCUCACCCUCCUACCUCGCUCACUCUGCUGUGGCCCUACCACCUUUCUGUUACUCAAACUCGCUUUUCACCCUCCUGCUUGGAUGAAUGAGCAGAGUCAUUGCUUGUAGUGUCCCCUUU
rnacentral:lncRNA from 10 species